UACGUAGGGUGCGAGCGUUGUCCGGAAUUAUUGGGCGUAAAGGGCUCGUAGGCGGUUUGUCACGUCAGGAGUGAAAACUCGGGGCUCAACCCCGAGCCUGCUUCUGAUACGGGCAGACUGGAGGUAUGCAGGGGAGAACGGAAUUCCUGGUGUAGCGGUGAAAUGCGCAGAUAUCAGGAGGAACACCGGUGGCGAAGGCGGUUCUCUGGGCAGUUACUGACACUGAUGCGCGACAGCGUGGGGAGCAAACAGG
rnacentral:rRNA from 1 species